rnacentral:rRNA from 1 species
UACGUAGGGUGCGAGCGUUGUCCGGAAUUACUGGGCGUAAAGCGUGCGCAGGCGGUGGCUCAAGCCAGGCGUGAAAUCCCCGGGCUUAACCUGGGAAUGGCGUUUGGGACUGCAAGGCUUGAGUGCGGCAGAGGAGACUGGAAUUCCUGGUGUAGCAGUGAAAUGCGUAGAUAUCAGGAGGAAUACCGAUGGCGAAGGCAGGUCUCUGGGCUGACACUGACGCUCAUGCACGAAAGCGUGGGGAGCAAACAGG